rnacentral:rRNA from 1 species
GACGAACGCUGGCGGCGUGCCUAAUACAUGCAAGUAGAACGCACAGUUUAUACCGUAGCUUGCUACACCAUAAACUGUGAGUUGCGAACGGGUGAGUAACGCGUAGGUAACCUGCCUGGUAGCGGGGGAUAACUAUUGGAAACGAUAGCUAAUACCGCAUAAUAUUGAUUAUUGCAUGAUAAUUGAUUGAAAGAUGCUAUUGCAUCACUACCAGAUGGACCUGCGUUGUAUUAGCUAGUAGGUGAGGUAACGGCUCACCUAGGCGACGAUACAUAGCCGACCUGAGAGGGUGAUCGGCCACACUGGGACUGAGACACGGCCCAGACUCCUACGGGAGGCAGCAUUAGGGAAUCUUCGGCAAUGGACGAAAGUCUGACCGAGCAACGCCGCGUGAGUGCAGAAGGUUUUCGGAUCGUAAAGCUCUGUUGUAAGAGAAGAACGGGUGUGAGAGUGGAAAGUUCACACUGUGACGGUAUCUUACCAGAAAGGGACGGCUAACUACGUG